GUAAAUUGAGAAAGUGAAAGAAAAUAACCUCUAAAUACCCGAGUUCCUGGAGAAUGCAGUCUUAGCAUCUUCAAAGGUUUGUAGUAUUUGGGGCAUUCCAGUGCCGGAAACAUCUCUUUUUCCCUCCUUCCGUUGCAUCCCGCUAUUGCUGAUAUUUUCCUGCUAUCAUUAUCUCCUUUCUAUUCCCUUUCUGCCAAAUAUCUAAACCUUAUUAUGCCUCUCACAUAAACUGUGGAUCUGGCACUCGGCCGCCAGGCACAGAAUCGAACAGGAAAAGGGUGAGAGAGGAGAUUGGGGGAGGAUUCUUUAGUUGUAAUGGCCCAAGAGGCUCAAAGGACUCUCAACAGACCCUGUUUCUAUUCCUCAUUUGGGAAUUCUUCCAUUAUAUUUCUCUGUCAUCUUCCGCUCAGUAUAAUAACUCCUGAAAGGUAGAUAACUAUUAAUAGAGUUCGCACAGCACUGCAGUCAUAUGGAUUGCCCCACAGCGCUGUGACUAAGUAGAACUGAUGUCUCUUGUGACAAGCACUUGUGUUGCUGUCAUCCAGGACGUGCAGGCACUCUGCAUAUUACUGAGCGCCGGCCUCCCCCCCUCCCCAUCUCAUUCUCUUUUUUGGACAGCACCACAGCUGUCCCAAAGGGAAUCCAAAAUGAGAGGAUCUGUCAGGGUCUGUUUGCUGCAGGCCUUGAUUUGAUGCUACUGCUCUGAAGGUGGAGAGGCUGUUUCUGUCUCAGUCUGUGGUACUGAGAGCUGCAGGACAACUCUCGCCCCAGGCUUGACCUGGUGGCUCUGAAGCACAUUCCAAACAAACGGAGCUGAUUUUGAUAAAAGAGAGGUGAUAUUCUGUUUUGCAGCUCUGCAUAUAACACUCGCCUCCUGCGAUUCCUCAGCAUACCGUCAUGUUUGUCUAACACUGCCCAAAUAACUAAAUCUUUCUUAUAUUUUUUCUCCCCCUUCAGCCAGAUGUUUCUCAUUCAUUUUUACACAGACACAGCUGCACGUGUAAAUAAUCCAUGAAUGCUCUCGCUAGGAGCGUGGAUGGGGCCAUGUUGUGUGUCUGUGUAAGUAAGUAGCCUGCUUCCUACUCUAAAGCAACAUUCUCCGCUCUUCCAUGGCUCUGAGAGCAACAGAAGGUCUAUUUAGAAAUGCGGAGGUUACUUCUGAACCACAGCCACAACUCCAAUUCAACACAGGUCAUCCGAUCCCAGCAUAGAGGUGGCAUUUUAGUGAAAAGUUGCUUCCUGCUUGGUUGCUAGCCUAGAAAAGGUUUUGGUGGAUCAUCAGACCCCUAAAGCAUCUCUUUCUUCUUAGGUGAAGCUGCACCAACCAAGAGAAAGACUGACAGCCGACCCGCCAAAGAGGUGUGCAAGGAAGUCGACCAGAACAAUAACAAAACUGGAGUCAGAGCCAUAGAGGAGAAGACAGACCCUCAUAAUGGCCAGGCUCUGGCUUGACAAGCUAUGAAAAGUGACAGUGGACGAGUCAUCCAUUAUUUAUAGCAGUGCAGAGCUCAGUUAUUUAUUUUUUCAGCAGCAUGAGCAGCAAGGGAUCAUGGCACAAAACAAGCAGCCAGUCGAGGCCUAUCCAUGUGAUUGUCAGCAGACAGGGAGGCAAGCCCAUGGUGGAGGAAGCCCUGACUAAAGCUGUGCCCGAGUGGGAACCCUCCAUCUCAGACCGGAUUCAUCUGAGUAUGUCCAAGUCCUUCUACCAUCUGAUGUUAUGGGACAAAUACGGAUAUUUAUCACAGCUGAGUGGAGAAGCGUGUGUCUGGUCACGGCUUGGUACAGUAGUGAUGCCACCAACGCAAUGAGGCCUUUUCUGGCGCGCAGGAGCACGCCAUGACAUCAGGAACAGAUGUUGCACAUGGAAAAGAAUCCCUCAGCCUGAUCCCCGGAGAGACUUUCAUUACAGACAAAAACAGAAGUCAUAGGAGGCCGGAAUCGUAUUCUGAUAUUAGGGCAGAGGACAUGGAUUUAAUAUGAGCCUGGAAAUGGUCCUGCCGCCUGCAGAGCAAGCCCCGGGUCUGCUUUGGGCUUUAAUGGCCCUCCUCCUAGUCGUCAAUCACACAUAACGAAAAUGCAUAAUUGCAAAUUUCAAACCAGAGCUGUUGCCUGACGUCAUAUGUUAGAAUGGGAGAGAGGAGACAGGUUUUGAAUUGCAAGUUAGGCAAAUGGAUAACACUGCCUAACAAAGGUAUAUGUGCCUAUGAGUUAUGAGCUUGUACUGCAAGUCAGAGUUAUGGUUGACGCUGAUCAGUUCAACAUUCAAUACUACAAUUACAGUAAAAGCUGGUGUAAUGUUCCUCGUAUGAAUGGAGAUAUAACCUUUGGACUGCUUUGCUAAACAAAAUACACAACAAUACCACAUGCCCUACCUCCUGCAGUGAAUGAUCUUGGUACAGCUGGGAUAUAAUAUAGCAAAUCCCAAGAGACAGUCAAAUAAAAAGGAAUGGUUAAAAGAGAAAAGAAGAUCCUUUAAUAUUCUAGCAUAAAAGAUGAACGAUUCAAGGAAUAGAGUGACAAAUCAUUACUUACUGUCAGUCAGAAGUAUGGGACUUUAACUUUAAAGCUUAACCCUUAAACUGCCUGCUCAACGAAAUGGUGGGGAACAUUUAGAAAACAUAUUUGUAAAAACGUUGAUUGUGUAUUACUCCUCAAGGUAGGGAACCCCUAAAGGGACAUAUACAUAUAAAAAAUUUGAAGUAAAAAAAAAAAAAAAUGUAGUUACUGACUGAUGCGCGAAAGAUAGUAACUGGUGCACACCAGUUAGUAUUUUUCAGAAUGUUUUUUUUUUUUUCUUACAUUUUUAGAAAACCCUUUUUUUCAGUGGCUAUCUGGUGCACAGCAGUUACUAAACCAGAACAUUAUUUUUUCCUAAAAAAUUAAAGUUG